UACGUAGGCGGCAAGCGUUGUCCGGAAUUAUUGGGCGUAAAGGGAGCGCAGGCGGGAAACUAAGCGGAUCUUAAAAGUGCGGGGCUCAACCCCGUGAUGGGGUCCGAACUGGUUUUCUUGAGUGCAGGAGAGGGAAGCGGAAUUCCCAGUGUAGCGGUGAAAUGCGUAGAUAUUGGGAAGAACACCAGUGGCGAAGGCGGCUUUCUGGACUGUAACUGACGCUGAGGCUCGAAAGCUAGGGUAGCGAACGGG
rnacentral:rRNA from 1 species